GAGUUUGAUCAUGGCUCAGAUUGAACGCUGGCGGCAGGCCUAACACAUGCAAGUCGAGCGGUAGAGAGAAGCUUGCUUCUCUUGAGAGCGGCGGACGGGUGAGUAAUGCCUAGGAAUCUGCCUGGUAGUGGGGGAUAACGCUCGGAAACGGACGCUAAUACCGCAUACGUCCUACGGGAGAAAGCAGGGGACCUUCGGGCCUUGCGCUAUCAGAUGAGCCUAGGUCGGAUUAGCUAGUUGGUGAGGUAAUGGCUCACCAAGGCGACGAUCCGUAACUGGUCUGAGAGGAUGAUCAGUCACACUGGAACUGAGACACGGUCCAGACUCCUACGGGAGGCAGCAGUGGGGAAUAUUGGACAAUGGGCGAAAGCCUGAUCCAGCCAUGCCGCGUGUGUGAAGAAGGUCUUCGGAUUGUAAAGCACUUUAAGUUGGGAGGAAGGGCAGUAAAUUAAUACUUUGCUGUUUUGACGUUACCGACAGAAUAAGCACCGGCUAACUCUGUGCCAGC
rnacentral:rRNA from 1 species